rnacentral:rRNA from 1 species
AAUCAACGCUGGCGGCGUGCCUAACACAUGCAAGUCGAGCGAGAAAAGGGGGGCAACUCCCUGAGUACAGCGGCGCACGGGUGAGUAACACGUGGGUAAUCUGCCCUGGAGUGGGGAAUAACACCGGGAAACCGGUGCUAAUACCGCAUACGAUCACGGAGUCUGCGGAUUUUGUGAUGAAAGGAGCAAUUCGCUCUAGGAGGAGCCCGCGGCUGAUUAGCUAGUUGGUGAGGUAAUGGCUCACCAAGGCAACGAUCAGUAUCCGGUCUGAGAGGACGGUCGGACACACUGGAACUGAGACACGGUCCAGACUCCUACGGGAGGCAGCAGUGGGGAAUUUUUGGCAAUGGGGGCAACCCUGACCAAGCAACGCCGCGUGGGUGAUGAAGUCUCUUGGGACGUAAAACCCUUUCGACGGGGACGAAACCGCAAGGUUGACGGUACCCGUAGAAGAAGCCCCGGCUAACUCCGUGCCAGCCGCCGCAGUAAGAC